rnacentral:rRNA from 2 species
AGCAGCCGCGGUAAUUCCAGCUCCAAUAGCGUAUAUUAAAGUUGCUGCAGUUAAAAAGCUCGUAGUUGAAUUUCGGGAUCAAUAUGUUGGUCGUGCCUUGGUACGUACUAGCUUAUUGAUUUCUCCUUUCUGACGAACCAUGAUGUCAUUAAUUUGGUGUCAUGGGGAAUCAGGACUGUUACUUUGAAAAAAUUAGAGUGUUUAAAGCAGGCUCGCGCUUGAAUACAUUAGCAUGGAAUAAUGAAAUAGGACAUUUGAUUCUAUUUUGUUGGUUUCUAGGAUCGAUGUAAUGAUUAAUAGGGAUAGUUGGGGGCAUUAGUAUUCAAUUGUCAGAGGUGAAAUUCUUGGAUUUAUUGAAGACUAACUACUGCGAAAGCAUUUGCCAAGGAUGUUUUCAUUAAUCAAGAACGAAAGUUAGGGGAUCGAAGACGAUCAGAUACCGUCGUAGUCUUAACCAUAAACUAUGCCGACUAGGGAUCGGAUGAUGUUAAUUUUUUAAUGACUCAUUCGGCGCCUUACG